GGAAGUAAAAGUCGUAAUAAGGUUUCCGUAGGUGAACCUGCGGAAGGAUCAUUAUUGUAUAACCGAGGUGCGAGGGCUGUCGCUGACCCGAAAGGUCGUGCACGCCCGAGUGCCCUCACACACAUCCAUCUCACCCCUAUGUGCACCACCGCGUGGGUCCCCCUUUGGCUUGUUCGGAGGGGGGCUUACGUUUUCACACAAACUUUGUAUGCAGUGUAGAAUGUAUUUUUUGUUUUUGCGAUCACGCAAUCAAUACAACUUUCAACAUCGGAUCUCUUGGCUCUC
rnacentral:misc_RNA from 1 species